rnacentral:rRNA from 1 species
AUGCUUAGAGGAACAUUUGGGGUUGUACUUACAGAUGACAAAGGAAGAUUCAUUGUUGGCAGGGAAUUGGAGAAUGGGUUGGUGUGUGGAUGUCUUAACAACAGAAGUGUUGGCUCUAAGAUUGGCUUAUUACUUGAACAAAAGGUGGGAUGCAAUCUUAUUGUUGUUAACUCCGACAAUAUGGAAGUAAUUGACACAACGAAGAAUGGGGGACAUUCAGCGGGAGCAGCGGCAGCAGUGUUCGACGAUUACUAUUUUAUGGCAUGCGAUUUUCCACUUAUUAGUUUUGAACAUUUUAAUAGGGAAGAAAAUAAAGUUGCUCAUGAACUUGCUAGGUUAACUAAAUUUUCUAUGACAAGGGAUUGGUUUGAGGAACCUACGAAUGAUAUUGUAACUUUUAUUAUUGAUGAUGUAACUGUUAUUUUCAAUGAAUAA